rnacentral:rRNA from 1 species
AUGGUGAAAUAUUUUUGGAGCAGUUCUCUGGAUAAAAACUCUAUGCAUUGCGUGUCCUGGAAAGAGUUGGCAACACCAAAAUGCAGGGGAGGGAUGGGGUUUCGUGACCCGCAUCAGUUUAAUCUUGCCAUGUUGGGCAAAUAGGGUUGGAGAUUAAUGACAAACCCUACAUUGUUGUGUGCUAGAGUUCUCAAGGUUCGCUAUUUUCCCGACAGCGAUUUUAUGCAUGCUUCUGCUCCAAAGUUGGCCUCGGCCACUUGGAAGGCUAUCAUGGCGGGAAGAGAGGCUCUAGGGGCCGGGCUGAUCGCUCGAGUGGGAGAUGGCAGCACGAUAUCAGUUUGGAAUGACAAAUGGAUU